GUGGAUUAGAUACCCGAGUAGUCCUAGCUGUAAACGGUGCACGCUUGCUGUAGGUGGAAUCGACCCCGCCUGUAGCGAAGCUAACGCGUUAAGCGUGCCGCCUGGGAAGUACGGUCGCAAGAUUAAAACUCAAAGAAAUUGACGGGGGCCUGCACAAGCGGUGGAGUAUGUGGCUCAAUUCGAUGCAACGCGAAGAACCUUACCUGGCCUUGACAUGCAAGUAGUAGAAGCCUGAAAGGGUGACGAUUCCGCAAGGAAAGCUUGCACAGGUGCUGCACGGCCGUCGCCAACU
rnacentral:rRNA from 1 species